AAGGAUCAUUACUGAGUGAGGGUCUUCGGGCCCGACCUCCCAACCCGGUGUCUAUCAACCUCAGUUGCUUCGGUGGGCCGGACGCGACCAACUGGUCGUGAACCCCCAGUCUUCGGGCUGGAGCGUGCCCGCCGAUGGCCUCCACAAACUCUUGGUACUCAACCUGGUCGUCUGAAUUGGAUUUUCAAUCAAAAACAAAACUUUCAACAACGGAUCUCUUGGUUCUG
rnacentral:misc_RNA from 1 species